ACUAGUUCUAGUAUUGUUGUCAAUAGGAGACAGUAGAGUGGUCAUAGACACUAGUUAUAGUAUUGUUGUCAAUAGGAGACAGUAGAGUGGUCAUAGACACUAGUUAUAGUAUUGUUGUCAGUAGAGAGGAGACAGAGUGGUCAUAGACACUAGUUAUAGUAUUGUUGUCAAUAGGAGACAGUAGAGUGGUCAUAGACACUAGUUAUAGUAUUGUUGUCAAUAGGAGACAGUAGAGUGGUCCAUAGACACUAGUUCUAGUAUGGUUGUCAGUAGGAGACAGUAGAGUGGUCAUAGACACUAGUUAUAGUAUUGUUGUCAGUAGAGUGGUCAUAGACACUAGUUAUAGUAUUGUUGUCAGUAGGAGACAGUAGAGUGGUCAUAGACACUAGUUAUAGUAUUGUUGUCAGUAGAGAGGAGACAGAGUGGUCAUAGACACUAGUUAUAGUAUUGUUGUCAAUAGGAGACAGUAGAGUGGUCAUAGACACUAGUUAUAGUAUUGUUGUCAAUAGGAGACAGAGUGGUCAUAGACACUAGUUAUAGUAUGGUUGUCAAUAGGAGACAGUAGAGUGGUCCAUAGACACUAGUUCUAGUAUGGUUGUCAGUAGGAGACAGUAGAGUGGUCAUAGACACUAGUUAUAGUAUUGUUGU
rnacentral:lncRNA from 13 species